UAUGUACAUGUCUAUGCAAAAUAAAGAUGAAUGCUGGGGGAAACAGACAGCGGGUGAUUAAGGUGCACAAGUUUGUGGCCGAUCUGUCAUGCUAUCCCUAUUGUCUUAUGAUUCCUUAUCAUUAGUUUCCCUGACAAUGAUUUAGCAGUCAUUGUCAGGGAAGUAUUCCCCCCUCAUUGCCUUUCACUGUGUUUAAACGUAACCUUCUUUCAGGAACGGCUGCCAUUCGUCACUUUUGACCUGUCAAGCAAGACAAAAUUGGACACUUCCAACCGUGGCCUUUUGUCCUGACACGGGCAGGCAGGUCGUGGCCUGGUGACUGUUAAAUAAGAACCAGGGGCAGGUCAGCGUGCAGGCCAAGGAACGGUUGAAAGCGAGCCCCCUGGUCCCUCUCUCUGGCAGCCAACAGCUGAUGCAGAAAGUCACCAUCCAUCUCUGGCAGGAUGUUAAUGAUGCAGCUUUUGGGAGGAGAGGAACUAAGACCUACUUUGCAGAUCAUCCGUGCCUAAAGCAGGGGGGAAUAGUGUCUGGAGAAAGUCUAUCCUCCACAAAACCAGGAGAAAUAUUGUCUUUUAACAGCCACAUGAAAGGAGAGAUGCUGUGAGCCACUUCAACACGACAGAAUAGCCUGCAGGGAUUUAAACCGACGGAGAAGCGUCUCGGGCAGAUAGGAUGCUGUCACGUACACCGUGCAAACUCGCCGUUUAUGUGGGAAUUAUAAGCAAAUAGUUAUUAUUUUCAUGAAAUGGAGCAUUCCCAUUUUAACUAGGGCUAGAAAUGUUAAAAUAUUGAAAAAUCUAUUAAACAUUAAAUGUGGAAUACUUGCUACAUCUGUCUCCAGCUAAUUGAGACGCUACCAAGAAUGUUAGGACUCAGGAGAAUAAUUUGUCGGUGCAAAAACACGGAAUGGACCAAUUUAUUGCUCGCUGCAGGC